rnacentral:rRNA from 1 species
GACGAACGCGGGCGGCGUGCCUAUACAUGCAAGUCGAACGAGAGCGACCGGUGCUUGCACUGGUCAAUCUAGUGGCGAACGGGUGAGUAACACGUGGGUAACCUGCCCAUCAGAGGGGGAUAACAUUCGGAAACGGAUGCUAAAACCGCAUAGGUCUUCGAACCGCAUGGUUUGAAGAGGAAAAGAGGCGCAAGCUUCUGCUGAUGGAUGGACCCGCGGUGCAUUAGCUAGUUGGUGAGGUAACGACUCACCAAGGCCGUGAUGCAUAGCCGACCUGAGAGGGUGAUCGGCCACAUUGGGACUGAGACACGGCCCAAACUCCUACGGGAGGCAGCAGUAGGGAAUCUUCCGCAAUGGACGCAAGUCUGACGGAGCAACGCCGCGUGAGUGAAGAAGGUUUUCGGAUCGUAAAACUCUGUUGUUAGAGAAGAACAAGUGCUAGAGUAACUGUUAGCGCCUUGACGGUAUCUAACCAGAAAGCCACGGCUAACUACGUGCCAGCAGCCGCGGUAAUACGUAGGUGGCAAGCGUUGUCCGGAUUUAUUGGGCGUAAAGCGAGCGCAGGCGGUUCCUUAAGUCUGAUGUGAAAGCCCCCGGCUCGACCGGGGAGGGUCAUUGGAAACUGGGGAACUUGAGUGCAGAAGAGGAGAGUGGAAUUCCAUGUGUAGCGGUGAAAUGCGUAGAUAUAUGGAGGAACACCAGUGGCGAAGGCGACUCUCUGGUCUGUAACUGACGCUGAGGCUCGAAAGCGUGGGUAGCAAACAGG